CUACCGCACCGACACAGCCUGGCACACAGGCACCUCAACCACCGGCAGCAGCGCCUCGCCCCGUUGGCCGCACUGCUCAGCGGGCUCUGCUCCCCAGUCACCGUCUGCCAGUCGGUCAGGAAGGACUGGAGGCGGCCCCCGCCACCUUCACCGCUCACUUCUGAGGGCUUUUUCAAGGGGCAGGUGUACUCGCUCCCAUCCGACUCCCUGUCCUCCGUGAAGCUGAAGGAGGAGAAGUAGUCCAAGGCCUGCAUCAUGGAGUUGUAGACCCAGUCGACGGGCUUCUGCACCCAGUUCCAUCCCGUCAGGAGGAAUUCCCAGCAGCGGGACCGUGCCCGCUCGCUGCCGUCCAUUGCCUUGGAUGGGCCUUGUGGAGGACAAGCCCGCGGCACCUCACCUACUUCUCCACCGGGACCCCUCUAACUCUUGAUUAUUGGGUCGAGCAAUGCCCAAACCUCUCCACAACCAUCCAGCAUCACGAGACUGAUUAUUAUUUGCCGGUAUCAGACAUUUCUCCUGCAGAUUUCCCCCUUGGAUGCUGCGGUUCCAACAGUAGCAUCGGGAUGGCACAGUAAUGACAUGGGCAUCUUUAGCAAGGCGUGAAUUUUAACCAGCUCUUCCCCUCAAGCCGAACAUUGGAAAUUCAUCUACCUUACUUUUAUGUCGGAACUUAUCAAUAAAAUGAAGAAGGAUCCUGCCCGUAAACAUCACCUAUCCAUUCCCUGCACAGAUGCCACCUGACCCACUGAGUUACUCCAGCGCUUUGUGUUUUACUUCCUGUUUUUGCUAUAUCUUAAAUGUGUGAUUUGAUUCUGAGAAUACCUAAAGUGCCUUCCAUAAUGUUUGGAACAAAGACCAUUUAUUUAUUUGUCUCUGUACUCCACAAUUUGAGAUUUGUAAUAGAAAAAAAAUCACAUGUGGUUAAA